GAUGAAGAACGUAGUGAAAUGCGAUAAGUAAUGUGAAUUGCAGAAUUCAGUGAAUCAUCGAAUCUUUGAACGCACCUUGCGCUCCCUGGUAUUCCGGGGAGCACGCCUGUUCGAGUGUCGCGAAAUUCUUCAAGCCUUGGAUGGAUUUUUUUUUGUCUGUCCUUGGGCUUGGUUGUUGGGCUCUGCCGUGUCCUUCAUUGGGACGGCUGGCCUUAAAAGCAUUAGCCGAUCCUCGUGUGGUACUGGUUCUACUCAGCGUGAUAACAAUCUGAUCGUUGAGGACAUCUUCUGGAUGGCCAGUCAUCAUUUGGGUUGCUUCUAAACCGGUUUCGCAGAUUGCUCAAUCUGUGUGCCACUUUUCAGCUUUGACCUCGAAUCAGGUGGGACUACCCGCUGAACUUAAGCAUAUCAAUAAGCGGAGGA
rnacentral:misc_RNA from 1 species